rfam:Fibulorhizoctonia sp. CBS 109695 unplaced genomic scaffold FIBSPscaffold_40, whole genome shotgun sequence.
GCAUUAAUGGGGUAGUGGUAACCUUGGUCGUUGCCACUCGGCUCUCUCAGAGUCGACCAGCCGGGGGUUCGAUUCCCUCUUAAUGCA